AGAAUGAACGCUGGCGGCGCGCCUAAUACAUGCAAGUCGAGCGAGAAGACGUAGCAAUACGUUUGUAAAGCGGCGAACGGGUGAGGAAUACAUGGGUAACCUACCCUCGAGUGGGGAAUAACUAGCCGAAAGGUUAGCUAAUACCGCGUACGCUUCUUGGACUUCGGUUCAGGGAGAAAGCGACGCCGAGGGUAUCGCGCUCUUGGAUGGGCU
rnacentral:rRNA from 1 species